rnacentral:sRNA from 1 species
UGCCACCAGGCUGCAGCUGGCCUCCUGGGAAGGCUGCAGCCUCUUCAUCAAGAUUGCAGACAAGGUGGGCUGGGCUGGGGCUGGGCAGACGGCAGGCGGGAGGCCAGUAAGCGGGGCCCUAGGUGCUGCCUGUGGGGGCCUCAGCCUACCAGGGGCACCCAUGCUGGAUCAGGCUGCACGGCCAGGGCUGCCGAGACGGAGGUAGGUGGGGUCCUGGAGCAGAGCCAGUGCCACACGCCAAUAGCCCAUGCACAGCCGACUCCAGCGCAGCACCCAGGCCGCAGGUGGCCACUGGACCAGAGCCCAGCAGGGCCCUCUCAGGAGGACAGUCCCCGGAAGCCACCCAACUUCCCUGUACCUUCUCCUUCCCCAGGUCAUCAGCCAGAAGGAGGGAGACUUCUUCUUUGAUUCCUUGAGGCAGGUGUCUGACUGGGUAAAGAAGAACAAGCCCCAGAAAGAAGGGGCCCCCGUGACGCUCCCCUACCAGGUGUACUUCAUGCGGAAAUUGUGGCUCAACAUAUCCCCGGGGAAGGAUGUGAAUGCGGACACCAUACUCCAUUACCACCAGGAGCUGCCCAAGUACCUGCGCGGAUUCCACAAGUGUUCGCGGGAGGACGCCAUCCACCUGGCGGGCCUCAUCUACAAGGCCCAGUUCGACAAUGACCGGUCCCAGCUGGCUAGUGUCCCCAAGAUCCUGAGGGAACUGGUGCCCGAGAACCUCACACGCCUGAUGUCCUCGGAGGAGUGGAAAAAGAGCAUCCUUCUGGCCUAUGAUAAGCACAAGGACAAGACAGUGGAGGAGACCAAGGUGGCCUUCCUGAAGUGGAUCUGCCGGUGGCCCACCUUCGGGUCUGCCUUCUUCGAGGUGAAGCAAACCUCGGAGCCCUCCUACCCAGACAUCAUCCUCAUCGCCAUCAACCGACAUGGGGUUCUGCUCAUCCACCCCAAGACCAAGGACCUGCUCACCACCUAUCCCUUCACCAAGAUCUCCAGCUGGAGCAGCGGCAGCACCUACUUCCACAUAGCACUGGGGAGCCUGGGCCGUGGCAGCCGCCUGCUGUGCGAGACCUCCCUGGGCUACAAGAUGGACGACCUGCUGGCCUCAUACGUGCAGCAGCUCCUGAGUGCCAUGAACAAGCAGCGGGGCUCCAAGGCCCCAGCCCUGGCCAGCACCUAGCAGCGGACGCUGGCGUGUCUGCUCAGGCGCCCUUCCCGACCUCUAUCCUGGCGGCACCUUCCCAGGCCCUCUCAGCCCAGGGCCUGUCCUCGGCAGGCAGCCUUCCAUGCUGCCCCCAUACAAAGCCCACUCAGCCCCGCAGGCGGCCCCCUCUGUCCUGGACGCUGCCCCGGGAGGCCCAAAGACGGGCCCAGAGUGGGGUCGGGAGUCUCGGACCCCCAGGCUGUUGGUGGAUGGCUGAGAGGACACCUCCCAACCCCACCCCACCA